AGCUUGUUGGUGAGGUAAAAGCUCACCAAGGCGACGAUCUGUAGCGGGUCUGAGAGGAUGAUCCGCCACACUGGAACUGAGACGCGGUCCAGACUCCUACGGGAGGCAGCAGUGGGGAAUUUUGGACAAUGGGGGCAACCCUGAUCCAGCCAUGCCGCGUGAGUGAAGAAGGCCUUCGGGUUGUAAAGCUCUUUCAGCCGGGAAGAAAACGCAUGGGUUAAUACCCUGUGUGGAUGACGGUACCGGAAUAAGAAGCACCGGCUAACUACGUGCCAGCAGCCGCGGUAAUACGUAGGGUGCGAGCGUUAAUCGGAAUUACUGGGCGUAAAGCGUGCGCAGGCGGUUUUGUAAGACAGGCGUGAAAUCCCCGGGCUUAACCUGGGAACUGCGUUUGUGACUGCAAGGCUAGAGUACGGCAGAGGGGGGUGGAAUUCCACGUGUAGCAGUGAAAUGCGUAGAGAUGUGGAGGAACACCAAUGGCGAAGGCAGCCCCCUGGGUCGACACUGACGCUCAUGCACGAAAGCGUGGGUAGCAAACAGGAUUAGAUACCCUGGUAGUCCACGCCCUAAACGAUGUCAACUAGGUGUUGGGAGGGUAAAACCUUUUAGUACCGGAGCUAACGCGUGAAGUUGACCGCCUGGGGAGUACGGCCGCAAGGUUAAAACUCAAAGGAAUUGACGGGGACCCGCACAAGCGGUGGAUGAUGUGGAUUAAUUCGAUGCAACGCGAAAAACCUUACCUACCCUUGACAUGCCAAGAACUUUCCAGAGAUGGAUUGGUGCCCGAAAGGGAUCUUGGACACAGGUGCUGCAUGGCUGUCGUCAGCUCGUGUCGUGAGAUGUUGGGUUAAGUCCCGCAACGAGCGCAACCCUUGUCGUUAAUUGCCAUCAUUUAGUUGGGCACUUUAACGAGACUGCCGGUGACAAACCGGAGGAAGGUGGGGAUGACGUCAAGUCCUCAUGGCCCUUAUGGGUAGGGCUUCACACGUCAUACAAUGGUCGGUACAAAGGGUCGCCAAGCCGCGAGGUGGAGCCAAUCCCAGAAAGCCGAUCGUAGUCCGGAUCGCAGUCUGCAACUCGACUGCGUGAAGUCGGAAUCGCUAGUAAUCGUGGAUCAGAAUGUCACGGUGAAUACGUUCCCGGGUCUUGUACACACCGCCCGUCACACCAUGGGAGCGGGUUCCGCCAGAAGUAGGUAGCCUAACCGCAAGGAGGGCGCUUACCACGGCGGGGUUCGUGACUGGGGUGAAGUCGUAACAAGGUAGCCGUAGGGGAACCUGCGGCUG
rnacentral:rRNA from 1 species